rnacentral:lncRNA from 1 species
AAGCCGAAACCAGGAAUGUUGAGUCAGCAGAAACUGAUUGAAUCUACCCAAGUCGAGGAUAAGUGUGAGCUUCUUAGUGAAUCUGCUGUGGAUGUACCAGAAAUGAACGAAACAACCGACAGUCCAGCUGCUUCGAUGCCUAGUGAAGAAUCACAGGAGGAACCCGGUUUGGUACGUGACUUGGGAAAGAAUGGAAAAGUUGUGAAGCAACAAGGAAAAAGACCAAUCAGAAAUGUGAGAAAGACUAGAGCAAAUGCCUAGUGAAGAAUUAUCACAGGAGGAACCGGGUAUGGUACGUGAAUUGGCAAAGAAUGGAAAAGCUGUGAAGCAGCAAGGUAAAAGGCCAGUCAGAAAUGUGAGAAAGACUAGAGCAAAGAGUUAAAUGACGAGAUAUGUAGACCAGGCAGUCUGUACACCUGAAGCUUCUGUAUAUUAGCUUGAAGAGGAAAUUUAAGCUAUUUUAGGAGGAUACUUGCUUAAUUUAAGCUAUUGUAGGGACUCAUCUUUUCCUUUAUUUUUAGACCACGUAGCAAGGUGGGAAGUUCUUGGAGGGAAGGAUGCCGGGAUCUAUUUGGAAACAGCCUCUCUACC